rnacentral:rRNA from 1 species
UACAGGGGGUGCAAACGUUGCUCGGAAUCAUUGGGCGUAAAGCGCACGUAGGCGGUUCGUUAUGUCGGAUGUGAAAGCCCUUGGCUUAACCGAGGAAGUGCAUCCGAAACUGGCGAGCUUGAGUACUGAAGAGGGUCGCGGAAUUCCCGGUGUAGAGGUGAAAUUCGUAGAUAUCGGGAGGAACACCAGUGGCGAAGGCGGCGACCUGGGCAGAUACUGACACUGAGGUGCGAAAGCGUGGGGAGCAAACAGG